CAGAGAUGGUCUAGUUGGUUAUGACGCGGCCUUAACACGGCUGAGGUCCCGGGUUCGAUUCCCGGUCUUU
rnacentral:ncRNA from 16 species